UACGUAGGGGGCUAGCGUUGUCCGGAAUCAUUGGGCGUAAAGAGCGUGUAGGCGGUCCGGUAAGUCCGCUGUGAAAGUCAAAGGCUCAACCUUUGAAUGUCAGCGGAUACUGCCGGGCUAGAGUCCGGAAGAGGCGAGUGGAACUCCUGGUGUAGCGGUGGAAUGCGCAGAUAUCAGGAAGAACACCAACGGCGAAGGCAGCUCGCUGGGACGGUACUGACGCUGAGACGCGAAAGCGUGGGGAGCGAACAGG
rnacentral:rRNA from 1 species